GAAGGCAGUUUCACCUCCCUGACCUCCAGGGAAGGGAGAGGAGCUGGAGAUUGACCUCAAUCACCAAUGGCCAAUGAUUCACUCAAUCAUGCCUACAUAGUGAAGCCUCCAUAAAAAUCCUGAAAGGGGUGGCAUCCAGUAAGCUUCCAGGUUUUUGUGUGGACUUGUUUUCAUACAGCGGAAAGUCACUGAGCUAUGAAAAAGUACUGAAGUACUGAUACAUUCUACAAUAUGGAAAAACCUUGAAAAUGUCAUGGUGAAGCUGCUCGUCUCCUCUUCUCUGACAUCUCUGCAGCACCUAGGCAUCUGGGAUUAUCAUUAGACCUCAGCACCCUGACAUGAGGAGGCUGGCUCUGUAAAGCCCUAACCCAGCCAGUCAUGAGGGACAUUCUGGCUUCCUACACACCCCAUCGAAACACACAAAGGACAGGUCACACGUCACACGAACUGUAUCAUGUGACCCCUACAGAGAAUGAGGCACACACCUCAUGUUAGCAGGGGUCACACACUCAAACAUCCACUGGGGUGUUAGAUGCUGUGAAUGUGAGUGGCCAUGGAGGGAGCUGCAAAACUGGAAAGAACAGCCCCAGCUAGAGGGGCAAAUUUGGCUACUUCCUACUGAUUAUUUCCAUGUAGGCCCCAUGUUGCCAGAUUUUCCAAGAUAAGUUGGAAAUUUGGAAUUUUAUUGUACAAUGCUCAAAGUUUAAUAUCUAAUUCAAAACUCCAUGAUUAUUCUGCAAGUGAAACAAUAAUGCAUCAAAGGAUUAGAUCUGUCGUAAUGGCUACUGAUUUCUCAACUCUGAAUUAUAACGAUUCAUAAAUGAAAUUACUGAACUGAAUAAAAAAAGAAAUGGAAAUUAUAGUCUAGUACAGAGGACAGGCACCAAGACACACGAGAACCUAAGAUAGCUCACCUAUCACACAAUCGUUAACAUACAGACCCACCCGACAGAAACAUCAACCCUUGCCAGCACCAAAGUGACACCUUCUCCUGUGAGGAUGAGUAAGUGAAGGGGCUGGAAAGAAGAACCAAUUCUUUCUCCCUGAAACUUCUCAGAUGACAGAGGGUCCUAUUCUGUGAACUGAGGUGGGUGGGAACAAGAGAAUAAGAGAGAGGAUAUUUCUCCUACAAU